CACGUAGGGGCGAGCGUUGUCCGGAAUUACUGGGCGUAAAGGGCGCGCAGGCUGUUAUGCGAGUCUGCUGUGAAAUGUACCGGCUCAACCGGUGCCUUGCGGCGGAUACUGCAUAGCUGGAGUACUGGAGAGGGAAGUGGAAUUCCCAGUGUAGCGGCGAAAUGCGUAGAUAUUGGGAAGAACACCGGUGGCGAAGGCGACUUGCUGGGCAGCAACUGACGCUGAGGCGCGAAAGCCAGGGGAGCAAACGGGAUUAGA
rnacentral:rRNA from 1 species